CACCUGUCAAAGAAAGUGUCAUUGCUGAGAGAGGGGCAGGAGCUGUAGGGUGGUCAAAUACUGGCACAGGUAGCCCAGAGAGCUGGUAGGGUUUCCAUCCUCAGAACUACCCAAAAACCAACAGGCAGAGGCCCAGGCAACCUGUUCUAACUAAGCCUGCCUGAGCAAGGGACUGCGCUGUACAGGCUCCAGCAGUGCCUUCCACCUCCAGCGUUCUGUGAUUGUCUGCCAGCAGCAAGGAACUCACCUGUCCUUGAUCAUGCUGAA